UACGAAGGGGACUAGCGUUGUUCGGAUUUACUGGGCGUAAAGCGCGCGUAGGCGGAUCGCUAAGUCAGGGGUGAAAUCCCAGGGCUCAACCCUGGAACUGCCUUUGAUACUGACGGUCUGGAGAUCGGGAGAGGUUGGUGGAAUUCCGAGUGUAGAGGUGAAAUUCGUAGAUAUCGGGAGGAACACCGGUGGCGAAGGCGGCGACCUGGGUCGACACUGACGCUGAGGCGCGAAAGCGUGGGGAGCAAACAGG
rnacentral:rRNA from 1 species